UCGAGUAAUAUCUCUUUUUUGUGAUUGCUUUGAACGCCAGCACAUACUUAGAAAGUUCAUCACAACUUCUGUUUACCUUCUGCAAUCUGCAUCGAGAAAAAAAUUUAAGACAUGAAAGUCUUUAACUCGUCACUUCCUAUUGAAAAUUAAGCCUCUGCUAGACAGUUAGACCGUUGUAGCAAUAUUCAUACUCGUUUUCAAUAUUCAACGUAAGAGAGCUUAAUUUAAUCUAAAAAAUAUAAAAUAAAAUGAAAUAAGAACGUGCUAGGUUAGGUUAGACGAGAAAUGUUUACACAUGCUAAAUUUACCAUAUCACUUGCAGGCUAUACUAAUAAAUAGAAGACAUAGAUAAAAUUAUGUGAAUUGCAUCAUGAUCAACAAAAAUCUCUGUAUUUUACCCUGUAUGUCCCAUGUUUAUUAAUUUAGUUUAUGCCUCAUGUGAUGUGAUGAACUUAGUUUAUGUAAUAAUUUCUUUAUGUUAGCCUAAUUUCGUCAGGGCAGAGUCAACAGGGGUGUGGAGGGGGCGAAAAAUGAACAGAACAACUAAGUUAUGGGCAAAAUUAUUGUAGACCAGAGAGAAAAACACUGUGGGCUGUAAACCCAUUUUCCUCUCCCUCUCCCUUUAUGAGCAAAAUUAUUGUAGACCAGUUCGACUCCCCAACCACCAGACGCCAGCCCCUCAACAACCACAAGAACCACCAUCCACAGCUCAUUUCCCUUCCAAAACUCACGGCAGCUCUAGCUUUUCCUUAUCACUACCAACAGCACCGCUGACCACAGCCUCUCCCUUUCCAAAACACAAGUAAUUAACAACCCUCCCUCUCGGUCAUCUACUCAUUCCCCAUCAAAACAAAUCCAUGACGUCCUACACCACUAGCAGCUCCCAACAUAGUCGUCCUCAUCAACAAUAGCCCACACAUCUAGUAACACUAACGAUUGUCCUUCAGCUGCACCGUUGACCAUCACAAUCCAGCUACUCCAUUGAACAGCAACCAACAAACCGAGAGGAAGAAAGAAUCAAUUCUAAAGAAAUAGAAACCUAGGGAGGAAGAAGAGGACUAACCACUUCAAAUCCACCUAUAUUUCUAGUUUUACCUGUGGAGGCGCCUGGUUCCACACACCAGCAGUGGGAGAGGCACGUGGUUCCACUCGUUAUCACUAUUCGCCCAGCCCCUGGAAUCUUUCAGUACUGUCCUCAAGUUUCAACAACUUCUCCAUAUUAUUUUUAUCUUGGGAAGAUCUAUUUUAUAAUUUUAGAUGUUUAAUAUGUAUUUUUAAAUUAUUAUUUGAAUUUGAAUUAUUGGUGCUUUGUAGAUAUGUGUAAUUAGGUGUGUAAGUAAAAUAUAGUAAAAUAGAGAAUGUGUGUGUAUGUUUAUUU